GACGUAGGGGGCAAGCGUUGUCCGGAAUCAUUGGGCGUAAAGCGCACGUAGGCGGUUCGUUAUGUCGGAUGUGAAAGCCCUUGGCUUAACCGAGGAAGUGCAUCCGAAACUGGCGAGCUAGAGUACUAAAGAGGAUCGCGGAAUUCCCGGUGUAGAGGUGAAAUUCGUAGAUAUCGGGAGGAACACCGGUGGCGAAGGCGGCGAUCUGGGUAGAUACUGACGCUGAGGUGCGAAAGCGUGGGGAGCAAACAGG
rnacentral:rRNA from 1 species